rnacentral:rRNA from 1 species
UUGAACGCUGGCGGCAGGCCUAACACAUGCAAGUCGAACGGUAACAGGAAGAAGCUUGCUUCUUUGCUGACGAGUGGCGGACGGGUGGGUAAUGUCUGGGAAACUGCCUGAUGGAGGGGGAUAACUACUGGAAACGGUAGCUAAUACCGCAUAACGUCGCAAGACCAAAGAGGGGGACCUUCGGGCCUCUUGCCAUCGGAUGUGCCCAGAUGGGAUUAGCUAGUAGGUGGGGUAACGGCUCACCUAGGCGACGAUCCCUAGCUGGUCUGAGAGGAUGACCAGCCACACUGGAACUGAGACACGGUCCAGACUCCUACGGGAGGCAGCAGUGGGGAAUAUUGCACAAUGGGCGCAAGCCUGAUGCAGCCAUGCCGCGUGUAUGAAGAAGGCCUUCGGGUUGUAAAGUACUUUCAGCGGGGAGGAAGGGAGUAAAGUUAAUACCUUUGCUCAUUGACGUUACCCGCAGAAGAAGCACCGGCUAACUCCGUG